GUCGCACGAGAAAGUGGAGCAAUCCAUGAGUAAAGUGGCGUACGGGUGAGUAACACGUGGAUCAUCUACCUCUUAGUGGGGAAUAACCCUGGGAAACCGGGGCUAAUACCGCAUAAGCCUGCAAAGGGAAAGCAGCAAUGCGCUGAGAGAGGAGUCCGCGGCCGAUUAGCUAGUUGGUAGGGUAAUGGCCUACCAAGGCAAUGAUCGGUAGCCGGCCUGAGAGGGCACACGGCCACACUGGCACUGAAACACGGGCCAGACUCCUACGGGAGGCAGCAGUGGGGAAUCUUGCACAAUGGAGGAAACUCUGAUGCAGCGACGCCGCGUGAGCGAUGAAGCCCUUCGGGGUGUAAAGCUCUUUCGACGGGAACGAUAAUGACGGUACCCGGAGAAGAAGCUGCGGCUAACUACGUGCCAGCAGCCGCGGUAAUACGUAGGCAGCAAGCGUUGUUCGGAAUUACUGGGCGUAAAGAGUGUGUAGGCGGUUCUCUAUGUUCGGUGUGAAAUCUCCCGGCUUAACUGGGAGGGUGCGCCGAAAACUGGAGGGCUUGAGUAUGGGAGAGGAAAGCGGAAUUCCUGGUGUAGCGGUGAAAUGCGUAGAUAUCAGGAGGAACACCUGCGGUGUAGACGGCUUUCUGGACCAUCACUGACGCUGAGACACGAAAGCGUGGGUAGCAAACAGGAUUAGAUACCCUGGUAGUCCACGCCCUA
rnacentral:rRNA from 1 species